CUCUUCUUUUUCCUAAAUGACAGGUGAUGUGUGAGUCUCUCUUCUUGUUCCUAAAUGACAGGUGAUGUGAGUUCUCUCUUCUUGUUCCUAAAUGACAGGUGAUGUGUGAGUUCUCUCUUCUUGUUCCUAAAUGACAGGUGAUGUGUGAGUUCUCUUCUUGUUCCUAAAUGACAGGUGAUGUGUGAGUUCUCUCUUCUUGUUCCUAAAUGACAGGUGAUGUGAGUUCUCUCUUCUUGUUCCUAAAUGACAGGUGAUGUGUGAGUUCUCUCUUCUUGUUCCUAAAUGACAGGUGAUGUGUGAGUUCUCUCUUCUUGUUCCUAAAUGACAGGUGAUGUGUGAGUCUCUCUUCUUGUUCCUAAAUGACAGGUGAUGUGUGAGUCUCUCUUCUUGUUCCUAAAUGACAGGUGAUGUGAGUUCUCUCUUCUUGUUCCUAAAUGACAGGUGAUGUGUGAGUUCUCUCUUCUUGUUCCUAAAUGACAGGUGAUGUGUGAGUUCUCUCUUCUUGUUCCUAAAUGACAGGUGAUGUGUGAGUUCUCUUCUUGUUCCUAAAUGACAGGUGAUGUGUGAGUUCUCUCUUCUUGUUCCUAAAUGACAGGUGAUGUGUGAGUUC